rnacentral:lncRNA from 1 species
CUGGGAAUAUGUGGUUUCCUGGCAGGCAGAGGCGUCCUGGUCCUCCUCAAACAAGGGAGGAGCGCCAGCCUCCACUGCUAGGGGGAAGGGGCUGUGCAGGGACAGGCCUUGCUCUGCCAGCUCGGCCCGCAGAGGUGCUGUUGCUGUCACCUAGAUGGCAGAGGGGUGCCUGCCUGUCAUUCUCUUCCAACCCCAACCUCUGCGUGUGCUUUUCCUUCGCAGAUGUGCUCUGUCUUCUCUACGAUUUCUCCAUCAUAUCUCCGGCCAGGCCUGGACAACCAUGGUAUAAGAUUGAAGGUCAGAUCAAUGGAAACACAUUUGUCUACUAUGACUCUCAGAGCAAGGAGCUCAAACCUGUUGGUCGUCUGGGGUUGCAGCUGAAGGACAUCCCAUUUUGGGAGAGACAGAAGGAAACUCUGGAAGACUCGUGCAAUGAGCUCAAAACGAAACCCCUCGAGAUCACGGCAGAGACUUCCAGUAACAGAGAGACUGAAGUUGUUACCAAGAAACCCCUGAGGACGUGCUCUCCUUCCGCUCUCUCCCUUCUGGUGGGCGGCCUGGCUUCCACCUGCUGUUCAUGUCGACCAACAGGACCUUCGAUGCCUGUGGCAAAGGCGGAAUCCUCCAAUCCCCCAGGAGAUUGUGAUUGUGACGGAGGUGCAGUAUUGCACUGCGUUCAUUCUCGGUCAUGAGGAUUCUUCUCUGCACUUUUUCUUUUUUUUUUUUUCUUUUUUUUUUAAUAAUUUUUAUUUUAUUGUAUUAGUGACCAUACAGUACAUCCCCAGUUUUUGAUGCAGUGUUCCAUAAUUCAUUAUUUGCAUAUAACACCCAGUGCACCAUGCAAUACGUGCCCUCCUUACUACCCAUCACCAGCCUAUCCCAUUCCCCCUCCUCCCUCCCCUCUGAAGCCCUCAGUUUGUUUCUGAGUCCUGUGUCUCCCAUCUGCACUUUUUCUUAACUCUCAUCCUCUGGUACUAAUUCUUGGGAUUCCUGCACUUUGCCUUCUAAUUACUUGAACAAGAAUUCUGAACAAAGAGAAUAUUUCCCGAAUUCUCCUUUGGUAUCGGAAAUCAGACACUUAUCAACGUCAUAAGCUGUUUGUUGGUAAAAGAAUACUAUGUGAAGGUAGAGAAACUCAUGGUUCUUUCUCUCUUUUGAGACUCAGGUCUUUUAAAGAGAACAGUAUUAUAUUUGUGGUAGUUUCCUUUAGUAAUUUAUCCUUUAAUAGACAUUUAAAUAAGUAUUUGAAGAAAAUAUUCAUUAAAUAGCGAAUUAUUUCAGAAGUUUACAUUAUAACUCAGGGGAAAGAAAUAACAUCCAGUCUCCCUUUAUGUUAGGGAGUAAAUAAAACUAGUGAUUCUGCUAGAUUUCUUGUGGAA